CCUUCGGGUGGCAGCAGUGGGGAAUAUUGCACAAUGGGGGAAACCCUGAUGCAGCAACGCCGCGUGAAGGAAGACGGUUUUCGGAUUGUAAACUUCUGUUCUUAGUGAAGAAUAAUGACGGUACCUGACUAAGAAGCCCCGGCUAACUACGUGCCAGCAGCCGCGGUAAUACGUAGGGGGCAAGCGUUAUCCGGAUUUACUGGGUGUAAAGGGAGCGUAGACGGCAGAGCAAGUCUGAAGUGAAAGCCCGCGGCCCAACUGCGGGACUGCUUUGGAAACUGCCCGGCUAGAGUGCUGGAGAGGUAAGCGGAAUUCCUAGGGUAGCGGUGAAAUGCGUAGAUAUUAGGAGGAACACCAGUGGCGAAGGCGGCUUACUGGACAGUAACUGACGUUGAGGCUCGAAAGCGUGGGGAGCAAACAGGAUUAGAUACCCUUGUAGUC
rnacentral:rRNA from 1 species